UAGUUCCGUGCAUUUCAAUAUCAACUUGAUUUUUGUCGAGAUUGCUACACAGUGGAUAUAUCGCCAUGAAAACUGACUUCAAAUCGCCUAAAGUUUGGACCUCAUCAAAUGGAAACUUUGCAGAAUUUCCAUAAAUUCUACUAAAUUUAUUAAAGAAAUGAAGAUGUUUGCGAGUCAUUUGUCCACAAAAGAGUUGGCGGGAGUUUUUACUAUCAUGUUCCACUAGUGCUUGGGUCUGCGCAAAGUUGUGAUUUCUCCUAGUUGUUACUACUGUUACUAUCUAUUGAAUUUGAAACGCCUAUGCUCACAGCUCAUUCAUAUUUCCCAUGAGAACAAGUUUUCUUUAUCUUUAUCGAUUUAUUUGUCCCACUGUGCGUGCGCUCUCUAUCAGCUGCAUUUAUGUAAGUGUAGCACACACACACGAAAACGAACGCUACAUUCCGAAGCUAUUUCUUAGAUACACUUUAUAAACACUUCCCGACCUGUCGCCGCAGUAAAUUGCGGCAUUUCCACUUCUCUUUCUUGACUCACUUCGCAUUCACUUAAGAAUAUAAACGACCAAGUUCGAAAGACCGCGUUCGUUUGUGUGAUUUUAAUAUAAUAGUUGGGUUAACAUUGAAAUUGAAGUCAGAUAGAGUAGUGGACUAACAACACUAACAGCAACAAUGGUAACACAUAAAGAAGACACGACGGCGCUCAGCGAAAUGACGUCAAGUUGAUUUAUUGCCUCCGUCAUUCUCUCGUUGUUUCAAGUGCAAGAGUUCAGCGGCAAAUCGCAGCCCGAAGUCUUACUCGAUCAGAUACUUGAGAAUAUCGGCGCUCCGCUGCACUUAAUUGUAAUUUUGAAGUAUUAAUAUGAACAAAUAUGGAAUGGAAGCUUCUGUCCGCUUUUUAGCAAGUUUUUGGGUCGAUAUAGUGGCUAUCUAUAGCCUGCUUGAACUGGAUUAAUCAAUUGUCAUUUAAAUCAUUUAAAGGGCGGCCCAAGAGACGAGGUGUUGUUGAGAUGGGUAUAAUGCUUUGAGUAUGGAGAGAACUCCACUUUUGAAUGAAAUAUUUGGUAUAAGUAAAUACAAUAACCGGAGACUACUUCCGGAAAAAACUUGAGGAAAAGUGCCGGACCAUAUUUUCAACAUCAACGAUUGACAUUUAAAUUACAUUACUUGUAAUCUCCAUCAACAGAGUACAGCGCUGAUAGAGCGGUUCACACAAACAAAGCUGGCACGAAUCGCACAAUGGCAUUAGUUCGACUGGCCGGUGCAAAGAACGACACUUGCUGCGGCCACACAGAGUUGUACACGACGUGUGCCACGAUUUUAUGGCGUAAAAGGGAAGACAUAAAGCACAAAGCGAACACAGACGAGUGUUAAAGGCAAAGAAACACAAAUUAAAGUUGUGAAUAAAGCUCGCUGGCAUUCAGACAAAAUAAAAGGCAGAUAAUGGCAAAACAUUUUCAUAUUUCAGGGACAAUAUCUUCAUGUCUACAUUUAUACUAACAUGGACUUCAUAAAAUACUAAGGUAAACCAAGAGUCAUUUAUCUUCCUUUCUGACAGUCUGAGCAAACGAAAGUUUACCCUGGACCUUACAUAUGCAAGCAUAUACAUAUAUUAAUAUGUGUUUAUUUACAUUUGCACUAUGGCAACUAAGUGGAACCUGAACUAUUACUGCAACUUUAAAUGGGAACAGAAGCGAUUUAUAGGCAUGGCAAUAGCAAGGGAGUGGGGUUUUGAAGUGCGCAGUUUUAUUUACAGUUAUUGUUAGAGGAAGAGUGGUCCCAACAGGAAACUCUGCAUAAACCAAGUAGAAAUCGUGUAUAACAGAUUGUAGGAAACGAUACACAAUAAUUAACGGUUAAAUUUCUGCAGAUUGACCGGAGCUCAGUUGUGAUAUUGGUCAAAAGAAGACUUAUUUUAGAGCAGUCUAUUAUUCGAAAUUGAACUAUCCAAGGGGACGUUGAGUUUAAAUGAACCAUUUCCAUAGCCAAAUGAAUGUAUCGAGCAUUACAAUAAAUUUGUGAAAAGUGGAGCUAACUUUCGAUUUGCGAGUUUUAAACAAACGGUAUCUGUGGUUUCCAGCGGGUCUUUACAGCAACACACAUCCAUAUACACAUAUGGGUUUUAAGGAAACUCGAAUGGUUGACAUUCGCUGUGUCUAUCAGAUGCUAAGUAUUCGACAUUGCUUGCUAACCGAACAGCUAACAAUGCUGAGUUAUGUCUUAGUAUAUGGUUUAACGGUACAUAAAGUAGCGUUAUUUUAUUAGCAACAACGUGCGGUUUGUGGAGAUAUGCCAUCUGAUUGUGCACAAUAAUACAUAUGUUCAAACGAGCACUUAUAUAAUACACAUGUAUGUGUAUGUGCUGUGUGCAACGACAACAACAAAACUGUAUUGACAUGACAAUAAGAACAACAACUCAAAUUUGCUCAAAGAGAGCAAAACGACAACAAGUAGCGAACAACGGACAGCAAAUGAGCUGGCAUAGCAACGGCGUUACCGAGUGGCAACGGUUGCCAAUAAGCAAUCGACAGUCGGCGACCAACAAUCGACAUCCGAUAGCAGUCUGACAAGACAAUUUACUUUUAUUGUGUAAGAGAUGGCGGCAGGAGGCAAAAUGCCGUCAGGUUACUCCGCAACUUGUGCGCACCUCGAUGGCGAAGAGCGAUGGGAAGUCGCGAAUGUGUGACUAACGGUUAACAGCAGCGAAUGGCGAGCUCGUUUCUCAGCGCUGAAAUGCAGAAUCGUGUUGGCCACGCUUGUGGGAGACUACGUCACCUGCACGCCGCUAAAGUGUUUGACAUUUUAUUUAUAUUCACGCUGGCACAUGAACUCACUUCGCGCCUCGCCGUCCCUCCUUUGCCACUUUGCCAUUGUAUCUUCGCCGUUUCCUUUCUUUUUUCCUCAACUCGUCUUUGGCAUUUUCAUUUUUCCGCUAGUAAGCAUUCGCCAAAUCGCAAAAUGAACACGCAGAAGCGGAGCGCCUUCACUGGGGGCCGGUAUGUAAGAGGUGAGUAGCAGAAGCACCAGCAGUGGCAGCGGCAUUCGGAUGCACUCUGGCCGGUCGGUAAUUUACACGUUCCACGCUUCCAGCGGCAAGUGCAACGAACCGAUGCAACAAUGCUGACGAGAGCCAUUGCCGAUGCAAGCGUGCUAAGCGGCUAAAGCGGCACGACGCUGAUAUGCAUGCGAAUCGAUUGCUAGUGGGGAAUUGCUAGUGCUUGAAAGCAUUAGCAACAGCUGAAGAGCUCAGCAUUUGUUGGCCAAUUGCAAGCGCAAUUGCAUUUCGGCGAUUGCCAAAUGUUGGUGUUGUUGCAAUGGGUCUUUGUGGUUGCGGCCAGAGCUUUGCUUGUUUGGCUUUUGUCAUUGCUGUCAGCGCUAUUGUAGUUGGCAUGUUGUUGUCGUUGAGGCGCGUUGGAAUCUUUGUUUGUUGUCGAUUUGUUAAAUUUCGUGAAAGGUCGCCGGAGAUUGCCGUUGCCGUCUGCAUUGUUGCUGCAGUUGUUACAAUUGUCUUGCCAGCGCUCCGGUUGUUUGCUGUGGCUUAACCCCACUGCGGCGGUGUUGCGGUUAACCGUCACGUUACGUUCAACACUGUAUGUACAUAUGUAUGUGUGUGUUUGUGUUGGCAUUACUUUUCCAUGCUGUAUUUAUCUAUAACUUUUAUCAUCCUCUUUACUGUUGUCUUUUCCGUAAUUUUCCCAUCUCUUUCAGUCGGUGUAAUUUGGCUCGGCCUGUUUUUUGCGCCAAUCCUAUUUCACAAUUUCACAUCUGCUGCUUGUCGUGUUCGUGGAUAAUUAUGUUCGGUGUUUGUGAUUUUCCCACCAGCGUGGAACAAUUACUAUUUUAUAUGUACGUAGAUACCAUGCACCAAGUAGGAAUGGUGGCUCCAAGUGUUUAUCUUAGCAUUUACAGGAACUGUACACAGUCCAUAUUACCAAAAAAAUAUUCUUUUUACGAACCAAUGUCUAAAUUGGAACCCAUAUCUUAAACCGACCGCAGAAACACAGGUUUGUUUUAUAUAAAUGUACAAAAUACAUAUCCGGAUUGUACAGAAAAUAUAUGCUAAAAGUUGGCAAUAUAAACGAGAAACUGACGUUUUCACUAGAGGGUACUGCAGAAGACACUUUGCAAUUUACAGAGUAAAGCAAAUUGUAAUUAUGUUUCGCUACUUUUGUGGUAAUCUGUUGGGAGAUCUUUAACGGCAACAAUGCAGGCAUUAGUCAUGUUUAAAUUUUUAUUUAUGGCUCGUAAUAGCAAUAUAUUUCUGUUGUAUUUGUUUUAAUGUGUACUUAUGCAGCUUCAAAUUUAUUGUGGGGAAAUGCAGUAUGAUCAUUAAGUGCCAAUCGAUUUAUUGUAAUUCCCGAAUUAAUAUUAUCAAAUUAAUGUUUUUGGGUAUAACUUUAGAGAUCAUUGGUUCCGAAGUAAUAAUAUACAUUUUAAAUGUGAUUGUGAGAGAAAGUGACGUUGUCAACUUUUUUACAACUAUUUUUGAAAUAUUAUUUUAAAUAUAGUUUGUGAAUUCACCGCUUACUAGCAAGCAUAAUCAAAUAAUGUGGACUCAUAAUUUCUUUCUACAGACAAGUAUUUGGUUGAAUUCCUAGCAGGAACAAAUCUCUCAUCCAGAACCGGAAGACUAACACAGUAACAAUUCUUCAACACAUAAAGAUAGAGAGAGAUGACCUGAAAAAAUGUCUAAUAACUUUUCAAAUAUCAUGCUAACUGAUUGUUUUCAUGAAAUACCAAUUUUUAUCUUUUUUCUAUAACGAAUAAUUAAAGAAACUUCUCUUACAAAAAUUACAGAAUAUUACCCCAAGUAUAAGAGGCUUACAUGUUAUAAAUACUAUUUUUUACACAAUCUGAAAGUAAUAAUUUUUUAUAGAAUAAGCGCUGCUGAAGACUUAAAUGUUUAGCAUAAUUUAGAAACUAAGAAUUUUCAACUUCUACUCACAUAGCAAGAUCCUUUUCUGCGCUUUUAUUGGUACGAAGACGUAGUAGGGAAUUCAGUUCUUUCAUUACAUCACUACCUUUACGUUCCAGCUCGGAAAACAGUUCAGUGUCGUCUAUUUUAUGCAGAUCCGAACCGCUUCGACUCUUUAUGGAGCCAGAUCUUUGGAAUUGAGGACACUUAUAAGUUACUUUUAAGUAAAAUUAUUAUUUUACCUACCGAUCGAUAGAAUCCACACUGCUAUGUAUAUCGAAAUCCAUCAUUAGAUCGUCGGAACAUAUCGACUCACAGGGAGAGAGGGUGUCGAGAGAAUCGGCACGUUCCAUUACUGCCUUUCGUAGCGAGAGAGGUGUACGAAGACUCAACUCGAUUGCUUGCUGUAGGGCACUACGUGCCUUCGAUUGGCUCUUUAGGGAACGCAUCGAACCGGUGUUUUCCAUAAGUGUGGGGGUGUCUGUCUUAUCUUUGUGUGACGUCAAACUGUCCACCAGAUCAUGGGCUUCACUGUUAAACAGCAACGCCGGUUGGUCAGCGAUCUCAUCA